rnacentral:misc_RNA from 1 species
UUUCCGUAGGUGAACCUGCGGAAGGAUCAUUACCGAGUUAGGGGUGACGUGGUAACCCUGCGUCGCCCCGAACCUCCCAACCCUUUGUCUACCUUACCAUAACGUUGCUUCGGCAGGCCCGCCGACCCCUAGGCUUUACCGCCCGGGGCGACGCCGCCGGGGGUCUAACGACCCCGGGCCCGCGCCUGUCGAUGGCCCCUUUAUCAAAACUCUUGUUAAAACGUGUCGUCUGAGUUAAACAAAAAUUAAAACCAAAACUUUCAACAACGGAUCUCUUGGUUCUGGCAUCGAUGAAGAACGCAGC